rnacentral:rRNA from 1 species
CGGAGGGUGCAAGCGUUAUCCGGAUUCACUGGGUUUAAAGGGUGCGUAGGUGGGUUGGUAAGUCAGUGGUGAAAUCCCCGAGCUUAACUUGGGAACUGCCAUUGAUACUAUCAGUCUUGAAUACCGUGGAGGUCGGCGGAAUAUGUCAUGUAGCGGUGAAAUGCUUAGAUAUGACAUAGAACACCAAUUGCGAAGGCAGCUGACUACGCGAGUAUUGACACUGAGGCACGAAAGCGUGGGGAUCAAACAGGAUUAGAUACCCUGGUAGUCCACGCCCUAAACUAUGAUACUCGACAUACGCGAUACACUGUGUGUGUCUGAGCGAAAGCAUUAAGUAUCCCACCUGGGAAGUACGAUCGCAAGAUUG